AUUGAACGCUGGCGGCAUGCUUUACACAUGCAAGUCGAACGGUAACAGGGUGCUUGCACCGCUGACGAGUGGCGAACGGGUGAGUAAUGCGUCGGAACGUGCCGAGUAGUGGGGGAUAACGCAGCGAAAGUUGUGCUAAUACCGCAUACGUACUGAGGUAGAAAGUGGGGGACCUUCGGGCCUCACGCUAUUCGAGCGGCCGACGUCUGAUUAGCUAGUAGGUGAGGUAAAGGCUCACCUAGGCGACGAUCAGUAGCGGGUCUGAGAGGAUGAUCCGCCACACUGGGACUGAGACACGGCCCAGACUCGUACGGGAGGCAGCAGUGGGGAAUUUUGGACAAGGGGCGAAAGCCUGAUCCAGCCAUGCCGCGUGUCUGAAGAAGGCCUUCGGGUUGUAAAGGACUUUUGUCAGGGAGGAAAUCCCUAGCGUUAAUACCGCUGGGGGAUGACAGUACCUGAAGAAUAAGCACCGGCUAACUACGUGCCAGCAGCCGCCGUAAGAC
rnacentral:rRNA from 1 species